CCUGCUCUUGCUUUUAGCGGUGUGUAGCUCUGCAACACCUGCGCUUUGAUGAGCAUGUGUAGCGUACUUCUGGCGGUAACCGUUAACCCUAAAGCCAGUACACUUUUGCUGUCGCUAAUUUGAUCUUUUCCUUGGGUUGCACACUCAUCCAAGUCCCGGUGGCAACAGAUCAUUAAAUUUCUGAAAUUGGGUUUCUCUUCCGCUCUCAAAUUUCAUCUUCAGAGUGUUUGGGUUGCCAACAAGUUUCUUUGACUCUCUUUGGAUCUAGAAACGGAGAGAAGAAGUCUUAUGUAUUUCUUUCUUUUCAAGUCGUGUAAAUUGAAACUGAAAAUUUGGGGUUGGGAACAUUUCCAGAAGCUGAUUAAUUGUGUUUUAUUUACCAUGAAGUCCACGUGAAAAGUUGGGACUGGUACGGUCAUGAGAGAUUGAAGAUGGUUGCAAAAGAACUGUGACUCUUUCUCUUCGAAUACAAGCAUUGUCGCAACAGUUAUGCCUAGCUGCCUGUUUGCUGAUGCAGUUAGGACCAUACUACGUUCUCAACUGAUAAACUGGUGUAAUCAUUUUAAAACAUGGCAUGGAAUGGGACGACUUCUAUGCUCCCUUGCAAAAUUUGUAAUCUGAUUCACCUGUUGUUCAAACUGUUGGUUACUGCAUAUUCAUAGUAAUCUUCUGCAGCAUAUGGUCUUGCACUAAGUGUUCACACGUAAUAUCCAGCAUGCUAAGAAUCUUUUUGCGGACUCUCUAAAUGUGAAGGAUGGGGAACAAACGAGAAGUUGAUCAUAUCAAUUUUGGCUCAUAGAAAUGCUGCUCAACGCAAGUUGAUUCAACAGACUUAUGCUGAGACUUUUGGUGAAGUUUGUCUAAGCAAAUAGGACACUGCUCGUAACAAUCAUCUUCUUUCACCACUACUAAAUGCCUCAGCUGCUUCAUCCACAAUGGCCCAUCGUAUCAACAAACUACAGUAAGCCACAAAAUCUGAACAGCAAGGUCUAUACUCAACAAAAUCUAUCAAAUUCAAAUUACAAAACCACAAGAAAUUGUAUCAACAAACUACAGUAAGCCAACUUGAAUCAAAAAGAAAUUGUAUCAACAAAUGACAUUCUCUUC